UUUUUUCCUUUACAUUCCACAGCCAAGCCCUGCCAUGUUUUCGGGCAGAGUUGGGCCGCGCCGCCCGGCCUCUCCCCAUGCGCGUGUGUGCGAGGCCUAAAACAAAGCGACCGUGUCAAAGUGCUCCUGACCUGCAGAAAUUUGGACUCUUUCUACAACUGGAUCGUGUGCGUGCACACACACCAAGAAGAGUCAGAACUAUUGUCCGACCUUUUUCAUGCAGAGGAAAGCUCGGUGAGUUGUGUGGAGCUCUCUGCAGGCAGCAAGGGAAAGAAAUGACAGCCAGAAGCAAGCCAGAGAUGGAUACAAGGGAUGCAUCAUUGUGA
rnacentral:lncRNA from 1 species